GGAAUUCUGGGAGUGCUGCUAAUAUUUGGGGGCCAAGGUGAUUAGGGAACAUGAAGCACAGCGUUGUUCUAGUAAGCACAGGGUCCUCAGACCCUGCUCUUCAGAUUAAUACCUUUCCUUUGGUUUUAGCAGCACUAUUUCAAAGUGUAAUGUUUUGCCAGACACAGAGACAGCACACAGCUGGACUCUUUUCCUUUCCCAGUUUUCAGGCCCCUUCAGUUUCUUUCUUUUCUUUUCUUUUUUUUUUAGGAGGAUUAGCCCUGACCUAACUACUGCCAAUCCUCCACUUUUUGCUGAGGAACACUGGCCCAGAGCUAACAUCCAUGCCCAUCUUCCUCUACUUUAUACGUGGGAUGCCUACCACAGCAUGGCAUGCCCAGCAGUGCCAUGUCCGCACCCGGGAUCUGAACCGACUCUGCAAGCUUCUUCCUUAUCCUUGAUCAUCAGUGGUCUAAUCUGAAUUCCAUGAUAAAGAGAUGCUUCAUGGGGGCUGGCACAAGCAUGGGACAGAGGAAACACUGCAAAGUCACUUAGCCAGUGCCUACACCCAAGAAGAAAUCAUGACCUGAAGUGACCUCAGAACCAAAGAUCCUCCCCACGGAACCCAAGGACAGGGGCACAACUAGAACUUGAAAGCUGGACUCUUAUCAGAAGAAAGGGCUCCCUCCUUCAGGAAGAUCCGGUGUUAAUGUUCCCUCUGCCCCUCAUCAUAAAUGUUUAGAACCCUGUCAUAAAUGUUUAAAACCUUGCCAUAAAUGUUUGAAGCCCACCAAUCAAAGCCUGUGCCGUGAGUGUUUCCACAUGCCAACCUGUUCUCCCUAACCUCUUAAAUUUCACCCCAAAUCUUGAAUUAGGGAGACAGAUAUGAGGGCACACACACCCCAUGUCCCUGUAGAUCAAUAUCACAGAAUAAAAGCUGAUUUCUCCCCCAAAGGCUGAUGCCAUAAUUAAUUGGCUUGUUAAUGCACAUUGG
rnacentral:lncRNA from 1 species